AUUGAACGCUGGCGGCAUGCCUUACACAUGCAAGUCGAACGGUAACAGGUUAAGCUGACGAGUGGCGAACGGGUGAGUAAUACAUCGGAACGUGCCCGGACGUGGGGGAUAGCUCGGCGAAAGCCGGAUUAAUACCGCAUGUGCGCUGAGGAGGAAAGCGGGGGAUCGCAAGACCUCGCGCGUUUGGAGCGGCCGAUGGCAGAUUAGGUAGUUGGUGGGGUAAAGGCUUACCAAGCCUACGAUCUGUAGCUGGUCUGAGAGGACGACCAGCCACACUGGGACUGAGACACGGCCCAGACUCCUACGGGAGGCAGCAGUGGGGAAUUUUGGACAAUGGGCGAAAGCCUGAUCCAGCAAUGCCGCGUGCAGGAUGAAGGCCUUCGGGUUGUAAACUGCUUUUGUACGGAACGAAAAGGCGCCUACUAAUACUGGGCGUUGAUGACGGUACCGUAAGAAUAAGCACCGGCUAACUACGUGCCAGCCGCCGCAGUAAAAC
rnacentral:rRNA from 1 species